UCUGGUUUACGACCAAAGGAAGAUGUGCCAGCAUUCAACACACUCAACUGUAGUUCCAGUGUGGAUUCUGCCUCUCACUUCCAUGAGACCUUCAGCAGAGAGAUCUUCACUUCAUUGGGCCUCUAUGUAUUUGUGUUUCCUUGCAGUCCUAAGACUGCGAUUCUUAAUUUUACAGGAAGUCGAGAAAGUUGAUACAGUCUUCCCUGAUGAGUGCAGUCCGCAGUGAGUCCUACCCCAUAUCUCCUUCCUCCGUGUGUCUCCGGAAGUGUACCAGAGCUACACAGUCUAAUCUCUAUCAGACUCUGCUGGAAAGUAUCUCAUUCUCCUCCCCACCCACCCUAGCCAGCACUCAGGUCUAGGCAUCUGGUAUGGACUCAGCUAAUGCAAGUUGUCUGAGGAGGAAGUUCAGGGACUCUGCGACUAUCCCUGGAGAGUUGUCCUCUCAUCUUACUUUACAGAGAAAAGAAAGAUCAUUUGGCAAGAGUUUCCUUAGAUACUUCCUUCCUAUACACCUAAAAAUUAUUCAUGUUGAUUUAUGCUUGCAAAUACUGAAAAAAAAUGUGACUGCUAUAUUGAAUGUCUCCACCAAAACUCAUGCUGAAAUUGAAUCCCCACUGUGAGAUGUUAAGGAGUGGGAUCAGGUGACCUUUAAAAGGUGAUGAGAUCAUAAGUUCUGCCCUUGUGCAUGAGUAGGCUAAUGGUCAUCUCAAGGGUGGGUCUGUUAUAAAAGCCAGUUGGGCUUUUGUGGAUGUCCCCUUCUCACUCUGUGAUGCCCUGUGCUACCCUGGGACUCCAUAGAAAGUUCCCACCAGCAGGGAGGAGACUCACCAGAUGUGGGCCCGCAAUCUUGGACCUCCCAGCCUCCAGAACCAUAAACUUACUAAGCGUGUCUUCUUUACGAGUGAUCCAGGCUGUUUCAUUCAGUAAGCUGCCAACAGAAUGGAGAAAAAUGAAUGAUUGAGCUGAAAUGGAAAUCAUAUGUACAACCAAAGGCAUUGUUAAAAACUUGAAGAUAAGCCACAGACAUGAGAAGAUAUUUUCGCAAAUCAUCUUGAAAGCUUCACUAAAAGAUUGACUAUGAGGACGAGACCUGAAGGGAGGAAGAACUGAGAACCACGUGGUUGUGUGGUAGAAAACUGUUCCAUACAGAAGGAACAAGGAGCAGGGCCGCUUUCCUUGUGCGUUCCUCAGGUUCAGGGAGCAAAGCACGCCACCAGCGCUCAGUCUCCU